UCNNNNNNNNNNNNNNNNNNNNGACGAAAAAUGAAUACCAAGUCUCAAGAGUGAACACGUAAUUCAUUACGAAGUUUAAUUCAUUGAGCAUCAAACUUUUAAAUUGAAGAGUUUGAUCAUGGCUCAGAUUGAACGCUGGCGGCAGGCCUAACACAUGCAAGUCGAACGGUAACAGGAAGCAGCUUGCUGCUUUGCUGACGAGUGGCGGACGGGUGAGUAAUGUCUGGGAAACUGCCUGAUGGAGGGGGAUAACUACUGGAAACGGUGGCUAAUACCGCAUAACGUCGCAAGACCAAAGAGGGGGACCUUCGGGCCUCUUGCCAUCAGAUGUGCCCAGAUGGGAUUAGCUUGUUGGUGAGGUAACGGCUCACCAAGGCGACGAUCCCUAGCUGGUCUGAGAGGAUGACCAGCCACACUGGAACUGAGACACGGUCCAGACUCCUACGGGAGGCAGCAGUGGGGAAUAUUGCACAAUGGGCGCAAGCCUGAUGCAGCCAUGCCGCGUGUAUGAAGAAGGCCUUCGGGUUGUAAAGUACUUUCAGCGGGGAGGAAGGUGUUGUGGUUAAUAACCGCAGCAAUUGACGUUACCCGCAGAAGAAGCACCGGCUAACUCCGUGCCAGCAGCCGCGGUAAUACGGAGGGUGCAAGCGUUAAUCGGAAUUACUGGGCGUAAAGCGCACGCAGGCGGUCUGUCAAGUCGGAUGUGAAAUCCCCGGGCUCAACCUGGGAACUGCAUUCGAAACUGGCAGGCUUGAGUCUUGUAGAGGGGGGUAGAAUUCCAGGUGUAGCGGUGAAAUGCGUAGAGAUCUGGAGGAAUACCGGUGGCGAAGGCGGCCCCCUGGACAAAGACUGACGCUCAGGUGCGAAAGCGUGGGGAGCAAACAGGAUUAGAUACCCUGGUAGUCCACGCCGUAAACGAUGUCUACUUGGAGGUUGUGCCCUUGAGGCGUGGCUUCCGGAGCUAACGCGUUAAGUAGACCGCCUGGGGAGUACGGCCGCAAGGUUAAAACUCAAAUGAAUUGACGGGGGCCCGCACAAGCGGUGGAGCAUGUGGUUUAAUUCGAUGCAACGCGAAGAACCUUACCUGGUCUUGACAUCCACGGAAGUUUUCAGAGAUGAGAAUGUGCCUUCGGGAACCGUGAGACAGGUGCUGCAUGGCUGUCGUCAGCUCGUGUUGUGAAAUGUUGGGUUAAGUCCCGCAACGAGCGCAACCCUUAUCCUUUGUUGCCAGCGGUCCGGCCGGGAACUCAAAGGAGACUGCCAGUGAUAAACUGGAGGAAGGUGGGGAUGACGUCAAGUCAUCAUGGCCCUUACGACCAGGGCUACACACGUGCUACAAUGGCGCAUACAAAGAGAAGCGACCUCGCGAGAGCAAGCGGACCUCAUAAAGUGCGUCGUAGUCCGGAUUGGAGUCUGCAACUCGACUCCAUGAAGUCGGAAUCGCUAGUAAUCGUGGAUCAGAAUGCCACGGUGAAUACGUUCCCGGGCCUUGUACACACCGCCCGUCACACCAUGGGAGUGGGUUGCAAAAGAAGUAGGUAGCUUAACCUUCGGGAGGGCGCUUACCACUUUGUGAUUCAUGACUGGGGUGAAGUCGUAACAAGGUAACCGUAGGGGAACCUGCGGUUGGAUCACCUCCUUACCUUAAAGAAGCGUACUUUGCAGUGCUCACACAGAUUGUCUGAUGAAAA
rnacentral:rRNA from 1 species